CACGUAGGGUGCGAGCGUUGUCCGGAAUUACUGGGCGUAAAGAGCUCGUAGGUGGUUUGUCGCGUUGUUCGUGAAAACUCACAGCUUAACUGUGGGCGUGCGGGCGAUACGGGCAGACUGGAGUACUGCAGGGGAGACUGGAAUUCCUGGUGUAGCGGUGGAAUGCGCAGAUAUCAGGAGGAACACCAGCGGCGAAGGCGCUGCUCUGGGCCGGUACUGACGCUGAGGAGCGAAAGCGUGGGGAGCGAACAGG
rnacentral:rRNA from 1 species